UACGUAGGGUCCAAGCGUUAAUCGGAAUUACUGGGCGUAAAGCGUGAGUAGGCGGUUUCGCAAGUCCGAUGUGAAAUCCCCGGGCUUAACCUGGGAACUGCGUUGGAAACUACGAAGCUAGAGCGCGGCAGAGGGGGGUGGAAUUCCAGGUGUAGCAGUGAAAUGCGUAGAGAUCUGGAGGAACACCGAUGGCGAAGGCAGCCCCCUGGGUUAGCACUGACGCUCAUACACGAAAGCGUGGGGAG
rnacentral:rRNA from 1 species